UGGGGCAGCUCGCGUGAAUGAUCAGUACUUUUUUCCCCGUCGCGGAUAUUUACGAUAUUUCACGUCAAGUUGCUUUUCAUACUUGAGUUCGAGAGCUUUUUGAAAGUACGCAACCAAUUCUUAAAACUCGGUCUGUAACUGAGAAAUGUGUGUGUUUAUUUUUCACAGUUGACCAGUUGGUGACAUGCAUUCAAAGCAUCUUAAUUAGCUGUUGCGACGAGACCUCAUUCUACACAAGUGUUACAGUGCUUUAGUUGCCCAGUUUGAUCAUUCAAUAGAAUAGGAUGGAAUUUCUAAGUAGAAAAGGAACGCUUAUUUUUAAUAGAUUGGCUAUUAACUUCCACUUUAAUAAUGUCAGGGGCCUGUCUUCAGGUCGGAAAGGACAGAGGAACAACGUCAUGUUUUCAAAAUCACGAAACAGUCAAAUUUUCUGUGGAGAAAGGAGAUUACGGAUAUGUGACGUCAUACGAAUAUCCUGAUAACUACACCUCGGACUUUUACCUCGGGCAUUCUUGUAACGUCGAGAUCAGAGGCUGUAGCACCUGCAGAGUAAAGGUCACGCUAAUUGAUGUAAACUUCCCACCUUGUCCAGCUGUCCAGAAAUCCAAACAUAGAAA